ACAAGCAGGGUCUUUACACAGAAUUCCCGGGCGAACAGGACGGAGGUGAAACAGAAGUUAUGCUUGCCAACAGCCCCAUCUCUCAUCUCAGGAGAGACGAGGCCAACGAAACAACCACUAGCAACUGCUUGGGAAAUAUCUGAAAUAUGAGCAUGCGGAAAACAACAUGUUUAACGGAAAAUGAGCAAAUCUACUCACUGCAUAUGCAGCAGCUAAUUAUGAGAAAAAUUAGGAGACAGUUCUGUUCGUUCACACGACUCCUUCUCAACCACAAUGGAAAAUGAUACCCUUCUUUUAAAAAGUGAAAGUCUCCUUAGAAUAGCAACAUUUGCGCCAGGCACAGUGGCUCACGCCUGUAAUCCCAGCACUCUGGGAGGCUGAGGCGGGCGGAUCACCUGAGGUCAGCAGUUCGAGAGCAGCCUGACCAACAUGGUGAAUGAAACCCUGUCUCUACUAAAAAUACAAAAAAUUAGUCAGGCGCGGUAGCAGGCGCCUCUAAUCCCAGCUACUUGGGAGACUGAGGCAGACGAAUGGCUUGAACCCAGGAGGUAGAGGUUGCAGUGAGCUGAGAUCGUGCCACUGCACUCCAGCCUGGGCAGUAGAGAGCAAGACUCCGUCUCAAACCAAAAAAAAGAAAAGAAAAAAAUAGCAACAUUUGGAAUGCCUGUAACCAUUGGCUUACAUUCUCCAUCUUCUCAGUGGCCUCCAAGGUCCUCAUGAGCCGCACUGACUUGUUAUCACUGGGGCAGCUACAGCCUGGCACUGGGCCUGAUACCCAGCAGCACGGGACAGAUGUGUGGAUUAACUUAAAAAAUCAGCUAGAGGCUUGCUGCCCGCCUGAUGAACUGGGGGUUCUGUGGGAAGUGAGACAGACAGUUACCCUUCCCCCCUGCAUGAACAAAAUCCUGAGCCUUGUCCUCCCGUGGGGGCCCUCAAAGUCCAGUCAGCCGUGCUUUGCUGUGGUCAUUGGGGUGGGGCUGGGGAGGCCCCACUAAAGCCAUGCCUUUAUCCAGCGAUCCCUUCCUGGUCCCCAAAUCUGCAGUCUAGCAGAUGCCUACUGCUUUCUAUUGCUUUCCAACCCUAGUGUCAUGUUCUGGACCACUGGAUGGUCAUGGCAUGUUGGCCUAGCCUGUUCCUUCAAAACCCACUCCCCUUCCACAGGCAUCUGCAUCUAGCCAUUGGUAUCUAGAUGCAGAAACUGAGCACCAAGGCUGUAGGUCUCACUGAAAGAGCCAGGAGCAGCGUUCUCUUCUGGUUGGCAGAAGGGGCUUUGGGCAUCUCUUUAGAGUGGCUCAUAUUCACCAACCCCAGUGUCAGGUGCCUAACAUGCUUCUGUGAGGGCCUCAGCCAUGUUCCAUUCCAGAAUUUGCUCUGAAAGCUCUCUGGGUCUGGAAGCCUGCAAUUUCAUUUUUCGGCAUGCCUUGGUCUAUUCAGUACCACCCUGCGCAAACGUCCCUCUGACACAGGGUAACGAAUGGGCUAAUUUUGGAAAGGGGAAAUCUGGGGUCCAGAGAAGAUGAAGACUGAAGUAUAGAGGUUAGCAUAAAAUUAAAGGUCAGUCAGAAAAGAGAAAACUGCUCUGAAAAUAUAAUGGAUAAAUAUCAGUCUUCAGCAAAGUUCAAUUUGAACAAGAAUUGUAGGUUGCACUGGCAGAAUUGUAACUAGAAAAUCCACAAAUGCCCAGUCGGACUGCGAAUGCAUUGUCAGGCCUGCUUUUUAUGAUGUCACAAUGAAUGACUCCAGAUGACAGACAGUGUAGAUUCAGUUAAAACAUAAAGUACCUGGCAGACUAUUUCCGGAGGUUACAGUUUUGUUAUUUAAAAAAAAAAAAAAAAAAUACACAAAUAAUGGGUCUGGAAGAGGAAGCAUGAUAAAUUUGAGGACUUAGAAGUGAUGCUAAAUUUGGACAUUUGAAGAAGGGGCACAGGAAAGCAAUUCAAAGGCACUUGAGUUAUCAACGUGCACAGAGGAAAUUAAGUAGGAGGCAUUUUGGAAAGGCACCCACUGAUAGCGACCUGGAUGGAAGCCCUUGAAGUCACAGUUCCUCCACAGCACGGGCUUUGAACUCCUGUGCUUGGGUCUGGCUUCCACAAAGAUGAGCUCAGAAUGGAAAAAUUAAAAAAAAAAAAAAAAAAAAAAGAAGUUGGAAGCCAUCGCCACUACAGUGCCAACCUGGCCAGCCACGAGACCAUAAUAUUUUUUAAACUCUGAUGGCUAGAAAUGGACACAAAUUGCUCUUCUGUGGUUGCCAGCAGGUUUCUGAAUCAUCUUUGGGUUAGGGCUUCAGCAGACUUUUGAUUUUGCAAGGUCUAGUCAAGAACUUUUAUACACGCAAGGACCAACCUUCAAUCCAAAAGCUACUCUACAUCACCUAAGUGAAUCGGCCAGUCUCAGCAACAUGGACAAGAGGCCAGAUCUGUCAAGAACUCUGUCAUCUGUAUGAAAACAUCCCAGGGCUACACAAAGCCACUUAUCUGAGCCCUUCACUCAGGACGGAAAGAAAGGCAGCUUGCAGAUCUGAUUAUGCCACAGUCCUCAGGAACCUGUUACCACACAAGGGGCUAGAAAGUCCUAAGCGAGUUGUGGAUGAGGUUGGCAGCCACACUGCCCACACAGAAUUCUAAAGGGGUUCUCCUGCCUCCCACCGUGGGACUCAACUCUGAUCCAGCCCCUCAAAUUUGAGGGAGACCCCACAUAACCUACAUGGUCCAUCUGCGGGGAUUCCACAGCCCUGUCUUUACUUCAUUAGAAACCGACCGUUCUGCUUUUCAACAGUUGCUACAAUGGGGGAAAGAAUAAAUUGAACUCAUGAGCAUGUAUUAAAUAACCAUAUAUGCCCAGUACUGUAAGACUCUGUACAAGAAACAAAAGAGAUAGGAGACAAGGUACAAUCUCAGUACCUUGAAAUCCAGGUUGGAAGAUACGGAUAUACUCAGCACAAAACUAAAUGAAAAACAAACAAACAAACAAAAAAACAAGCACCAGUUUGUGUGGUAGUCAUUAAGGUUAUCUGAACCCUCAGCCAACUCACCCAUAAGCUCCCUCUUCCAGCUCCAUGCUGGAAAAUGGUGGUCAAGAAAGUGAAGGCCUUGACAGUAGUCGACUGAAGUGUGAGUUCUAAAGCGCAAGGCGAAACAGAAACAGCUUCCAGCUCCUUCUUCAUUGUGACUUUUCCCCCUGAGCCUGGCUCCAUCAGUGCUAACUCCUCUGGCCCCUCGCUGGAGAAACAAUCUGACUUGGCAACUUAAACCUGCUUUCACUACGCUGGGCAAAAAUGAGGGCUCUCACCUUUGCUUUUCUCCAAUAAUGUGUUAAGUGCUCUGACUCUAAAAACAAAAUCCUUCCGAUUUUUGCCUGAAAACUGUCAACCGACAAGGAAGGUCCUUUCUCUGCAAGGGUGACCUUUAACCAUGGGAGGCGAGUUCAUUCCCAUCAGACUUGCCCAUUUGGUGUGUUUGUUUCUCUUAAAGAAAGGUCCUUGA